GCCGGGCAUGGUGGCGCAUGACUGUAGUCCCAGCUACUCAGGAGGCUGAGGCAGAAGGAUUGCUUAAGCCCAGGAGUUUGAGGUUACUGUGAGCUAGGCUGAUAUCAUGGCACUCUAGCCUGGGCAACAGAGCGAGACUCUGUUUCAAAAAAACAGAGUCUCGCUCUGUUGGUCUGGCGGAAGUGCAGUGGCAUGAUCAUAGGUCACAGCAACCUCAAACUCCUGGGCUCCAGCAAUUCUCCCACCU
rnacentral:SRP_RNA from 1 species